CGACAACUAAAUGUGAUAUGGUAUUCUUGGUGGCAUCCUGGAACAGGAAAAGGAUAUUAGUGGCUUAAAAUACAGGAUUUGGAGUGGAGCAGACCCAGGAUCAAAGCCCAGGAGCUGUCCUCGCCAUAUCCACCUCCGUUCGGUGGGUACAACAAUAGUAACGGCCUCACGGAGUGGCUUUGCGGAUUAAACCAGGAAAUGCAUGUGAGCUCUCAGCACAGAGCCGGCCACACAGCACAUGCUUGCCGGAGCAGCCACUUGUCCAUCGCCAGCGGCCGGGAAGAGCAGGCGAAG